AUGGUGAGAGCCUUCGUCUGGAGGCUGAGGGGGCAUCAGAGCUCAGUAAGACUGUAACAUCGGAUGAAGAAACACCUACUGUCCUACAGAAUAACUGUCUCGUGAUUGACAUUUGUGCUUGCCUGUUUUCGCUAUGAGAAAAGCACAUAUGGCUAGAAGGAAGAGUGAGUUUAACAAGGCAGGGUGGGGGAGGCAGCACGGCAGAUGUAGCUGCCAGAAUGACUCUUGUACAUCUGCUUUCGUUAGCAGAUUACAGCCCUUUCCCUCCUGCACAGUGAAUUUGGGACUCAGCUGGAAUUUCAGCCCUUUGAGAGACUUGCUGCCUCUAGCUACAUUUGCCUGGGGAUCUUUGACUUCACGUGGCUCAGGAUACUUGCAGCAGAGACUUCCUUCCCAGCUGCCCUUGCAACUUAACCUAUGCUGUGGUAAACGGGAGGCAGGGGGCUCCGGCACCCCGGUGGUGAGACUGAUGGCGUUCACCUCAGAGCAGCUCUGCUCGUUUACCUUUGUAGUGAUGCCGCCUCUCCUCCCUUGCCCCUAGAGCCCACGUGUCAAACUCAUUUCCUCCAGGGAAGAAGAUGUGGUACCCAAGCUGAUAGCAUGGGCGUCACUCAGCAAAAGCUACUGUUAACUAGAGACAGGUUUUGUAAAGAUGAAGCACAUAGACACUUGAAUUUCAUUUUUCUGUCCCCGCUGCUAUUAACUCCCUGCUGUCUUAGACCUCAGCUAAGAUGCUGCAUGCAAAAUCUGUGGCACAGAUUCAGCUGAAUCAGCUUCACUAUCUGCAGGGACAUGAGCUCAUCUCAAAGCCCUGGUCUGGAGCAGUACAGGUGCUGAUGGCAACCAGGGAAGUCAAGAGACUGCUCAGACCUCUGCUGGGGGAGUGCAGCUGAUUUAUUCCUUCAGCUGUGUAUCACUCAGAGCCUGCUACAAGUCCUUGGCUCCUGGAUCUUUACUCUUUUGUAUGUUAGUCCAGUUAACAACUGCAGCCUAAGGUGUAUUUUAUGAACUGCAGUACAGGGGACAGUUCCAAACUGAUAUACAGGUGGCAAUUCCAACAUCUGUUAAUGCCUUAUUGAUUCCUCUUUCUUUAUCUCUAUGUGAUGUCUCAUAGAUUUAGCAGAUUUAGAUCAGUUUAUCAGGUUGGUAUCAUCCUUAUCUUUAAAGAUAAAGCAAUUGAAAGCUUGGUGUUGACCCCACAUGACAGAUUUCUAUGGAAGCUACAUAACCAUCUGUGCUUAAACAUAGUGAGAAGACGUACCGCUGCAGGAAUACUGAUGUAAAACAUUCUCACUUGACAGAGCUGGGAAUUCACCAUUAAACAGGCAGAAAUAAACCCAGUAAGAUUUCAACUGGAGGAGCUUGUGCCGGGCUCAGACUGAACGCACCAUGGGACAGACAGAAUAGCUGUACUUGGACAAAUCCCACAGCAGUAACAUGCCAUAAGCAAUUCUGCAAAUGCCCCAUUUCCUGCAGCCAGUGAAGGGAAGGCUUGCAUCAGCACUACAUUCCCUUGAACAACCAUUUAAGCAAGCUCCUCUCAGCAGGAUUGGAGGAAUGGCAGUAGGUA